CUGAUGGUUAAUACCUGUAUGGAGGUAAAUAUGGCUAAUGGUUAAUACCUGUAUAGAGGUAAAUAUGGCUGAUGGUUAAUACCUGUAUAGAGGUAAAUAUGGCUGAUGGUUAAUACCUGUAUAGAGGUUAUCAUGGCUGAUGGUUUAUACCUGUAUAGAAU